AUUGAACGCUGGCGGCAGGCCUAACACAUGCAAGUCGAGCGGAUGAAGGGAGCUUGCUCCUGGAUUCAGCGGCGGACGGGUGAGUAAUGCCUAGGAAUCUGCCUGGUAGUGGGGGAUAACGUCCGGAAACGGGCGCUAAUACCGCAUACGUCCUGAGGGAGAAAGUGGGGGAUCUUCGGACCUCACGCUAUCAGAUGAGCCUAGGUCGGAUUAGCUAGUUGGUGGGGUAAAGGCCUACCAAGGCGACGAUCCGUAACUGGUCUGAGAGGAUGAUCGGUCACACUGGAACUGAGACACGGUCCAGACUCCUACGGGAGGCAGCAGUGGGGAAUAUUGGACAAUGGGCGAAAGCCUGAUCCAGCCAUGCCGCGUGUGUGAAGAAGGUCUUCGGAUUGUAAAGCACUUUAAGUUGGAAGGAAGGGCAGUAAGUUAAUACCUUGCUGUUUUGACGUUACCAACAGAAUAAGCACCGGCUAACUUCGUG
rnacentral:rRNA from 1 species